GACGAACGCUGGCGGCGUGCUUAACACAUGCAAGUCGAACGAAAAGGCCCCUUUGGGGGUACUCGAGUGGCGAACGGGUGAGUAACACGUGAGUAACCUGCCCUUGACUUCGGGAUAACUUCAGGAAACUGGGGCUAAUACCGGAUAGGAAUCCUUGCUGCAUGGUGGGGGUUGGAAAGCUUCGGCGGUUUUGGAUGGACUCGCGGCUUAUCAGCUUGUUGGUGGGGUAGUGGCUUACCAAGGCUUUGACGGGUAGCCGGCCUGAGAGGGCGACCGGCCACAUUGGGACUGAGAUACGGCCCAGACUCCUACGGGAGGCAGCAGUGGGGAAGAUUGCACAAUGGGCGGAAGCCUGAUGCAGCAACGCCGCGUGCGGGAUGACGGCCUUCGGGUUGUAAACCGCUUUCAGCAGGGGCGAAGCUUGUGGUGACGGUACCUGCAGAAGAAGCACCGGCUAACUACGUG
rnacentral:rRNA from 1 species